GCCUAGCCCCGAUCGAAAUGGUAUCUUUUUGUGGUCUCGUUUCUUUAACGAGACUACAAAAAAUAUAAUAGAGAGCGGGACAAAUG
rnacentral:sRNA from 1 species